CUAGGACCAGGUACCUGUUUCCGUUACAAGGAUCAGCUACCAAACCGAUACACAAAGAACCGGUCGAACCUGCCGAUUUUUACGACACCGAGUCGAAAUGACGUAGCUUAAACUACGCAUGGUUCAGAGAACUGCUAAGACAUCUCACUUCUCCAGCUAGCAAGUUGUAAACUCAAAUGACCAUAAAGCCCCUUUAAGAUUGAAUACAAUCAUACUUUCUAUGCAAAUCUGCAAGGGCAUUCUGGGAAUCUCUAAUGAAGAAAAAAAAAGGCAAUUCCUCUGUUUAGUGGUGCACCUCCUAUUUCUUGGCAACCUUGAUUAGUGCACUUUGAUCUGGACCGUCCAAUCAGUGGAGCACCUCUUACAUGAACCACGGGCACAAGUUUUCCAUUGGCUGUUUUUCUACGGCUACGAAAAGUUCAGAGCAAUGGACAAUGAAAAAUAAGCCCAAAGCGAUUACAAACAGCCCCAUCACUCAAAUUCUUGAUAGUGGUCCCGUCCAUGAGGUGGUCCAUCAACUGGAUGGUCCAGAUUGGUCUAAUUGCUCGGACCCAACAAUAGUGUCAUCGAGACCGUUCAUGGUUCACUGAUCCAGACCGUUCAUCUUAAGGGACCCAAGGCAGAAGUUAAAUGAUCCAAAAAUCAUCGAGAAGGGAACAAACAUCCUAGAUCAAAUCUGUCCCUUUAUCAAAGGGUCAGGAAGUUCUAAUCCCAACGGAAGUAGGUCCCUAUGAUCAACGGUCUGGAUCAACAAAACUUCAUAAAGGGUCCUGAAGAAGCAGCAGCCCAUGUGAGAAUUUGAAAAGUUACCUCCAUUGCCCCUCUUUCUCGCAGUUUUUGCAUAGACCAGCUAAAACCUUCUUCUUCAGAUCCGAGACAGAGAAGCAUUUGAAGGAAGCGUCCCCAUCAGACGGUGGCACCGACGACGACAUGUUGUCGGAGGAGAGGAGCUUGACUCGAUCUUUCGAAAGCUGCUGUGAUGAAUUCUCAGAGGAGAGAGAUGACGACGACCACGAUUCCUCCAUUGUGAUCUUGUAGCUGGGAAUGUGUUCUUGGAGCAUGUUGGCAACGUCCUUGAAUCGACGGAGAUAGAGAAGCGAUCGCGCUUUCAGCUCGAGGGCCACCUCGAGGCGGGGAGAGAGUGCGAGGGCCGCAUCGAGGAGGUUUACGGCAGCGGUGAUUUCCGAAUGCUCGUGGGUUGCGAUGAGUACACGGGCAUCUUUCACGUAUUUCUCUACUACCUGUGGCAGGAAAUUCAGGUAAGGUGAGAUGGAAAUUUGAAGAAAUAUUGGGAUUUUUUUCAUUUGGGUUUUUCAUGGAAUUGCAGGAAAAUGAGAAGAAUCGUGUUUUGGGUAAUUUGGAAGGAAAUGCAUGUCAGGGAGAUGGAGAUUUGCAGGGAAUUGGGAUUUUUUUUUCUUUCAUUUGGGGGGUUUUUUCUGAAAUUGCAGGAGAAUGAGAAGAAUCCUGUUUUUGGCAAUGUGGGUCCUCUGGAUUGAUACAAAAGGGCAGAAAUAACGGAUAUUGCAUUGGAUUUUGGGUAUCUGUUAGAGAUUUCGAAGCCGUGGAUGAUGCGAGGACGAUUGAGAGAAGAUCCUGAAAAGAUGCAGUUUUUACGGUUGAAAAAAUCAGCAAAAUCUAAUAGAAGAUUUAGGAGAAAAAGACAGUGCAGGGAGUGAAAAUAUUAUAAAAAAGGACAAAAGGAGAGGUCUCGCAUUGAAGUUGCAGAGAAAAACAGGCAAAAAACAACAAAUCCAAUCCUCAUUACACCAAACAGAUGAAAGGAACAAAACCAACAAAAAACCAGAAACCAAAAGAAUAAAACCUAUCCUAAAAAAGAAAAAGAAAACAUCUCAAACAACAAAAGAAAAAAAAAACUUCUACAUUUUCAAAAAGACCCAACAAAGAAAUCUUCAAGAAAAGGGGAAAAACCCAUAUAUUUUCCAGCAGCAAUCUUCAAGAAAAGAUAUGAAAAAUCACAAACCAAAACCCUUUAAAACACGUAGAAAAACCCAACUUGCUUCUUAAAAAGAAAAAGAAAAAAAGAAUACAUUUUCCACCAUAUCUCUCACAAAAACCAC